rnacentral:rRNA from 1 species
UACGUAGGGUGCGAGCGUUGUCCGGAAUUACUGGGCGUAAAGAGCUCGUAGGUGGUUUGUCGCGUUGUUCAUGAAAACUCACAGCUCAACUGUGGGCGUGCGGGCGAUACGGGGCAGACUAGAGUACUGCAGGGGAGACUGGAAUUCCUGGUGUAGCGGUGGAAGUGCGCAGAGUAUCAGGAGGAACACCGGUGGCGAAGGCGGGUCUCUGGGCAGUAACUGACGCUGAGGAGCGAAAGCGUGGGGAGCGAACAGG